rnacentral:rRNA from 1 species
AUUGAACGCUGGCGGCAGGCCUAACACAUGCAAGUCGAGCGAGAGGCGGACAGGUGAGUAAUGUCUGGGAAACUGCCUGAUGGAGGGGGAUAACUACUGGAAACGGUAGCUAAUACCGCAUCCCAUCAGAUGUGCCCAGAGGGGAUUAGCUAGUAGGUGGGGUAACGGCUCACCUAGGCGAAGAUCCCUAGCUGGUCUGAGAGGAUGACCAGCCACACGUGAACUGAGACACGGUCCAGAUUCCUACGGGAGGCAGAAGUGGGGAAUAUUGCACAAUGGGCGCAAGCCUGAUGCAGCCAGGCCGCGUGUGUGAAGAAGGCCUUCGGGGUGUAAAGCACUUUCAGCGGGGAGGCGUUACCCGCAGAAGAAGCACCGGCUAACUCCGUGCCAGCAGCCGCGGUAAUAC